CGCUCACCUUGGUCUAUGUGAAUAUUAAACAAUGGACACAGAUGGAUUCAUGACAAAAUUUUGUUUUGGUGAUGGUGAUGUGUUUGUAGAUCUUACUUUACCAUACAUUCUUGCUGCUUACAAUUAUCUCUAUCUAUAACAGUACUUUCUGUGGAAAAUGUUAUUGAAAAUCUUCAAAUUUUAAGAAAAUUGUUAAAAAUUGACUAUGAAGGGCAAUAACUCCUUAGGGGGUCAAUUGACUAUUUUGGUCAUAGUGACUUAUUUUUAGUUCUUACUUUGCUGUACAUUAUUGCUGUUUACAGUUUAUCUCUAUCUAUAAUAAUAUUCAAGAUAACAAAAAAAACCGCAAAAUUUCCUCAAAAUUACCAAUUCAGGGGCAGCAACCUAACAACCGAUUAUUCGAUUCAUCUUAAAAUUCCAGGGCAGAUAGAUCGUGACCUGAUCAACAAUUUUAGUUCCUGUCAGAUUUGCUCUUAAUGCUUUUGUUUUUGAGUUAUAAGCCAAAAACUGCAUUUUACCCCCAUGUUCUAUUUUUAGCCAUGGCGGCCAUCUUGGUUUGUUGGCCGAGUUACCGGACACAUUUUUUUAACUAGAUACCCCAAUUAUGGCUAAGUUUGGUUAAAUUUGGCCCAGUAGUUUCGGAGGAGAAUAUUUUUCUAAAAGAUUACUAAGAUUUACGAAAAAUGGUUAAAAAUUGAUUAUAAAGGGCAAUAACUCCUAAAGUGGUCAACUGACCAUUUUGGUCAAGUUGACUUAUUUGUAGAUCUUACUUUGCUGAACAUUAUUGCUGUUUACAGUUUAUCUCUAUUUAUAAUAAUAUUCAAGAUAAUAACCAAAAACAGCAAAAUUUCCUUAAAAUUACCAAUUCAGGGGCAGUAACCCAACAACGGAAUGUCCGAUUCAUCUGAAAAUUUCAGGGCAGAUAGAUCUUGACCUGAUAAACAAUUUUACUCAUGUCAGAUUUGCUCUAAAUGCUUUGGUUUUUGAGUUAUUAGCCAAAAACUGCAUUAUAUCCCUAUGUUCUAUUUUUAGCCAUGGUGGCCAUCUUGGUUGGUUGGCCGGGUCACGCCACACAUUUUUUAAACUAGAUACCCCAAUGAUGAUU
rnacentral:lncRNA from 1 species